rnacentral:lncRNA from 1 species
UUGAGGCAUCAAGAUUAUGAAAAAUCAAACACGCUCAAAAAUAUUUUUAAUAAAUUGCUUUGUAAUAAUUUGUCAUAAUAAAAUAUUCAUUUGUAAAUAAUUAUAUGAUGCGUAAUCUAUAAACAUUGUAGUAUUUUUUUUUUUUUGUAUUUCACUUGUAUAAUAUUAUUAAUUUUUGUUAGCUAUUAAUUUUUUCACAAGAUACUCUAAUCAACCAAACAAUUAAGACAUUCAUAAGCUAAAACAACAACUAACACACAUGUGAGAAGAAAAAAAUCUAUACAAAAUUCCUAAGAAGUUUGAAGAGUAAAACUAAUCACAAAAUUUUGCAAUAAGUUUCAAGUGUCUACUUCAAACAACAAAAUACAGAAGCAGACUACUAACACACUGUAAUAUAAUUAAAUCGUAAAAAAUAUUAUGCUACUUUUAAUAGUAUUUACGAUAGACUUUAACAGUAGUCUACAUUUGUAGACUUACAAAGAUAUCUAUACUUAUUAUCUAAAAUAUAGUUAAAUCAAAAAUUUGUAGUAUACUUGGCACUGUCUUGAUACACAAAGGCGUACAAUAUGCAUCUUACAUAACUCGAUCAAACUGCGCACUUGUCGAUCAUUCGUGACAUGAAUAGGAGGAGUAUCAUGACUCAUUUGCUCUAAAUUACGUCUGGUAUGGAAUACGUUAGCUCCACCAUCUCGGUUUUCUUGUCGAGAUCAUAAUCUUCUUGUGUCAUCUCAACAAGUUCACCAUGUGUACAACCAUCAUGCACAAGUUCACCAUGUGUACAAAAUAAGCGAAGAAAAAUUUCAUGUUUGAUAAUAUUACAAAGUAGAUUUAUAAAGAUGUCUACACUUAUUAAUUAACUAGAUAUUGAAACCAAAAUGUUGAUAAUUUCAUAAUUAUAAAAGAUUAUCUUUUCAAAAUAGUUUAAGACCAUUAGGAUUAACUAACACACAUUGUCAAACUAAAAAAUCUUGAAAAUACAUUAUGAAUAAUGUCUACACUAUUUUUUUUAUUUGGUCAACUUUAUAACAUCUUAGUCAAAUACAAAACUAACAUAUUCAACGCAGUCAAAGUUUUGGUCAAAUGCAAAACUGACAUUUUGUAAUCCCUACCAGUCUACAUAAUAUAGACUUCCGGUGAAGUCUAUUAUGAAAAGUCAAAAGUUUCCCAAGGUUCAGUCAAAUGUAAAAACUAACCUCUUUACGUAGACUUCUUAGUAAGUCCACAAACUUUUUUGUUUUUGCUUUCAAAGGUUAAGAUGCAGACUUCUAGGGAAGUCUACUGUACAAAAAAAAAUGUUUUGGUCAAUUGCAAAAGUAACUUGUGCGUUGAAAAGUAGACAGCAUCGUAAGUCUACACAUAAGCGUAGACAUACAAAAUAGUCUACUAUCGCGAUAAAGAUCUGAAAAAUGACGAAAACCCAUUAAAUAGUUACAUUUCCAGUGUAAAGCUCGUUUUCACCCUUUACCACCGUCCAAGCUCCAAAUAUGACCAAAAAGAACCACCUUUCUCGACUCACAACUGUAUAAACUCAAAAAUAUGAAAGUUUAUAUUAUAAAAAUGAAAGUUAUAGGGAGUUUUUUAGAUGAAAAUGGAGAGAAAAUGAGAGAAAAUGAAGAUUUGUUAGUUUACAAAGAGAAAAUGUGGUUACAAAUUGAAUUAUUGAGCUUUUAAGAGCUCAAAAAUGGUGGUUCAUGGUGGUUGGAAAAUUGAUGAUAAUGACAUUGUUGUAAAUAAGAAGAAAUGUUUAGGGUGUAAUAAUUUUUUUCUCAUUUUUGAAAUAAUUAAAUAAUUAAUUAAUUAUGGCACUUUUGUAAAUAAUUCAAUAACAUAAGGAGAAUUUAGAACUUUUAAGGGUAAAUAAUAAUGAUAAAAAAGGUUGGUUUUGUAGUUGACUCCAAAUUGAAGGUUGGUUUCGAAAAAAACCAAAUAAACAAUAAGGAAAGAACGAAGAAACACAAAACCACCAGUACGCAUGCUCUAAGAGCACGUUUAACCCUGUAUCUUAGGGGGACUCUUAAUGAAAAUUAGAAAUAAAAGAAAAACAAAAAUGGAAAUUAAAAGAAGAAACGUUCCUUAAUCUGGGGUUAGAAGGAACGUGUCUUAGGUACACGUGUUAGAUUUUGAGGGGGGAUGAGAAAGAGAGAGAAAGGAAAAAAACUGGUCUUGUCUUCAUUGUUUCAUUCGGUCCUCUCGCUUUCUCUCUCUGUCACUCCGUCGGUCCCGACUCUGCAUGCGUCGGAGACGAAUCGGCAACGCUGUUUUGUGAAUCGAAAGGCUCAUCGAAGAGGUCGUGUCUCUCUCCCUCUCCCUCUCUCCCUCUCCCUCUCCCUCUCUCUCUCUCUCUCUCUCUC